rnacentral:rRNA from 1 species
UGCAGUCGAGCGGUAGCACAGAGAGCUUGCUCUUGGGUGACGAGCGGCGGACGGGUGAGUAACGCGUAGAAAUCUACCCGGUAGUUGGGGAUAGCCCGGAGAAAUCCGGAUUAAUACCGAAUAAUCUCUGAGGAGGAAAGUGGGGGACCUUUCGGGGCCUCACGCUAUUGGAUGAGUCUGCGUCGGAUUAGCUAGUUGGUGGGGUAAAGGCCUACCAAGGCGACGAUCCGUAGCUGGUCUGAGAGGAUGAUCAGCCACACUGGGACUGAGACACGGCCCAGACUCCUACGGGAGGCAGCAGUGGGGAAUAUUGGACAAUGGGGGCAACCCUGAUCCAGCCAUGCCGCGUGUGUGAAGAAGGCUUUCGGGUUGUAAAGCACUUUCAGUGGUGAGGAAGGGUGUGUUGUUAAUAGCGACAUACAUUGACGUUAGCCACAGAAGAAGCACCGGCUAACUCCGUGCCAGCAGCCGCGGUAAUACGGAGGGUGCGAGCGUUAAUCGGAAUUACUGGGCGUAAAGCGCGCGUAGGCGGUGUGUUAAGUGAGAUGUGAAAUCCCCGGGCUCAACCUGGGAAUUGCCUCUUAUACUGGCACGCUAGAGUAUGGCAGAGGUGAGUAGAAUUCCCGGUGUAGCGGUGAAAUGCGUAGAGAUCGGGAGGAAUACCA